rnacentral:rRNA from 1 species
CACGCCGUAAACGAUGGAUACUAGCUGUUCGGCGCAAGUUGAGUGGCUAAGCGAAAGUGAUAAGUAUCCCACCUGGGGAGUACGCACGCAAGUGUGAAACUCAAAGGAAUUGACGGGGGCCCGCACAAGCGGUGGAGCAUGUGGUUUAAUUCGAUGAUACGCGAGGAACCUUACCAAGGCUUAAAUGUAGAUUGACAGGUUUGGAAACAGACUUUUCUUCGGACAAUUUACAAGGUGC